AUCCCUUUGGGGACAUCCGAUGAAAUUGAAACGAUAUAGAGAAGAUUAGCUUGGCCUCUGCGUAAGGAUGACAUGUAUAAAUUGAGAAAUUGUCCAAAUUUUU